rnacentral:snRNA from 1 species
AUCGCUUCUCAGCCUUUUGGCUAAGAUCAAGUGUAGGAUUAAACAAGUUCAUAAAAAUUUCUGCUUAGCCAUGUUUUGAGUUUUUAUUUUCUUUUUUUCUCAAAACUGUAUCAGUCUAAAUCAAU